UGUCCGAGGCGGGUGGGCGGAGCCUCUCGCUCACACCUCCCCAAGGAAGGUUUCCUUGGAAACCUCACGCCGCGGACGCCUCUGAGGCUCUGUCUGCUGGGCUCAUGCUGCUGAGACUUCGCCUGGCUUUCGAACUACCGUGUUAAUGUGUCCUUGCCUCCCUUCUUAUAGCUUCUCGCUCUGUCGCCCAGGCUGGAGUAAAGUAGCGUGAUCUCGGCUCACUGCAACCUCCGCUGUUGAGAAAUGCUAAGUGUAUGAUUGCUGAGAAAUGCUGAAUGUAUGAUGAAAUAUAUCGUUUGCUGAGAAGAACCGUGGCAAAGAAAAUCUAGCUCCCCCUCUUCCCCCCGCCAGAAGAAAACUACUUGGGGUGUUCUAAAGUGGCAGGACAAUAAAUAAAUAUAAAAAUAUCA